rnacentral:tRNA from 1 species
GGAGAGGUGGCCGAGUGGUUAAUGGCAGCAGACUGUAAAUCUGCCCGGUUUUACCGUACGUAGGUUCGAACCCUACCCUCUCCACCA